rnacentral:rRNA from 1 species
ACGGCUGAGUAACGCGUGGGAACGUACCCCAAAGUGAGGGAUAACGCAUCGAAAGGUGUGCUAAUACCGCAUAUGGUCUUCGGAUUAAAGCCUUCGGGCGCUUUGGGAACGGCCUGCGUAAGAUUAGAUAGUUGGUGGGGUAAUGGCCUACCAAGUCAACGAUCUUUAACUGGUUUGAGAGGAUGAUCAGUCAGACUGGAACUGAGACACGGUCCAGACUCCUACGGGAGGCAGCAGUGAGGAAUCUUCCACAAUGGGCGGAAGCCUGAUGGAGCAACGCCGCGUGCAGGAUGAAGGCCUUCGGGUUGUAAACUGCUUUUAUAAGUGAGGAAUAUGACAGUAACUUAUGAAUAAGGAUCGGCUAACUACGUGCCAGCAGCCGCGGUCAUACGUAGGAUCCGAGCGUUAUCCGGAGUGACUGGGCGUAAAGAGUUGCGUAGGUGGUUUAAUAAGCGAAUAGUGAAAUCUGGUGGCUCAACCAUUCAGACUAUUAUUCGAACUGUUGAACUCGAGAACAGAAGAGGUAGCUGGAAUUUCUAGUGUAGGAGUGAAAUCCGUAGAUAUUAGAAGGAACACCGAUGGCGUACGCAGGCUACUGGGCUGUUUCUGACACUGAGGCACGAAAGCGUGGGGAGCGAACCGGAUUAGAUACCCGGGUAGUCCACGCCGUAAAC